AGUCCAAUUACAAGAGCCUAUGUCUAAGCCUGAGCUCAAUGCCUUUAUAACCAAUGCCCCAUUAUGGCAGGCUGCUUCAGCAUACUUCAGCUUUUGAACCUUCUGCAAGCAAUCCUUCACAUCCACUGUACAGUGGCAUCCAUCCACCCAGCUCUGAUCCAUCUUGACCUAUGGCCAUUUCCCUGAGAAAAGAUGGAAGUAAUUCAAGCUCUUCCCACUUCAUCCAUUGAGGAGAAUCAGACUCCUCAGAACCAUAAAAAUGCCGGAAUUCCAUAUGCAUCGAGACAAGAUCCUCCAUCAUAAGUUGACCGAUUCUUGCAGUUGCUUCAGUUGCAUAUAUCUUGGCAGAAAAGCCCUUACUUCGAGUAAGAAAUGGUAGCCCAAGCAUGCCCAUUGUACUUGAAAUCAAUACAAUAUCAAUAAAAGAAGGAUCCCAAAUGUGCAAGUUCUUUAGAGUUUUGUACCAUGGCUCUGCAUAUAUUAAAUCUUUUGCAUCAAGGGGCUUUUCAAUUUUAUGCCUCUUUGCACUCUUUGAUUCCAUAUUCAAAGAUUCAUGGAAUGAACAAUUAGAAGAUUCAUCAAGCAGCGAGGGACAAAAAUCAGCAGGAACAGGAGAAAAGACUGUAAGAGCUGAAAGGUCCAGUGGGCAAUCAAGCAAUAUCCUAAACCCACUCACAUGGAGAACAUAACAUGGGGGCAAAUGAAAACCAUUCCCUUUAUUCAAGCAUGUCUGGAGAAAAAGGACAAAAAAUAAGUAUCUAAAUUGGGAAUCAAUACACAGGUUGUGUACAUGCACAGAGAUUGCAGUAGUGAGAAAAAGAGAGGGGAAAGAGAGACUUACAAACUUCAUGGAGAAAUACGAUAAAAAAAAAAUUACACUGUCAGAAUCACAAACUUACUCUUUACUGUUUACCUGCAAAGAUAAGGUUCAAGACCAUAAAUCAAUCAACUGAAAAAUGACAAAGUGUACAUCAUAUGCUUGGUAAAGACAUUCCAAUGUACAUCAUAUGCUUGGUAAAGACAUUCCAAUUUAAGGAUAAAAGGGCACAGAAUUAGAAGCCAAUUAAAGAAGGGCACUUCAUGCAAUUGCAAUGCUUGAAAUUUAAAAUUUUGAAAAUGAGAAGUAAAGAAAUUUAACAAGAAAAAAGAUAAGGUCCAUGUAACUGAAUAUGGUGGCUAAGGAUAAAAAACUAUCAGCUGGCCCUUACGCACAAGAAAGUGCUUUCAAUACACUAUUCUGAAAAUUUGGGGAAAAAACCAAGGAAAUCAAGCGUCUUUGCAAUUCAUCGAUUAAGAAUCAACUACUUAUAGGAGUUCUCAAACUUGGUUUGACUCCUCACUAGGACCACAUGUUCAAUAUGCAUUCUGCAGGGUAAAUAUUUCAUAUCUACUGCAAUUAAACUAUAAGCAAAAUAAUUUUCAACUUAACAACCCGGUCUCCAACUACACGCCUUUACACAUACAUCCAUCCAUACAAACAAGCAUGCAUCCGCAAGUGUAGAUUACAAUUAACAAGCUUGCGUAAACAAAUAUACAUGUAACAUAGGCUAUAUAGCUAAUGCAAAUUUGGAAGGACAAUGCAUGAAAGUAACUAAAACCCAUAAAGAUAAACUGAGUUUUCAAUGAACUUGAUGCCGAAAUUUAAGUCUUGUGAAGACAGCUUGCGUGUGCAAUGGGUGGGUUGGUUCAGUUUCAAACCAAACUGAAAUCAAAAUAAAAAUUCAUUAUAUGAAAAAGGAAUCAAAUUGAAUUUAAGAACCUAACCGAACAGGAAAAAAUCGGUUCAGUUGGAUUCAUCAGUUCCGAUUCAGCAAUCAAACAGCUUCCAGAAACAAGAAUAGAACGCUCAUAAGAUAUCAAUCAAACAAAAAAAAUAGAACCCAAUCAUCAACUUUUGCAAACGAAGGAACAGAAACAAAUUCCAGAUUGAAUCAGAAGAUAAAAGAACUAAACAAGCUAGAACGAAAUAUAAUCCAGAUGCAAGAAAUUUCAAUUAAUUAAUCAAUUUAUUAAAAGAAACCACAAAUUACACCAAAAUUUCAAUUUACAAAUUGCAAUACACGUUGGAAAAACAAUUUCUCACAAUCUACCUGCGAAAACUACAAAUCACGCCAAAAUUUAAACCUGCCUGCAAAUCAUAUCAAAAUCCAACAACAAAAUGCAUAUAUCUCACCUACACGAGAAGGAACCAAAAAUAAAAAGCCUCCAACAACAACAGCAGAUUGAAAAUUCGAAGAAGAAUAAAAAUCUCAAGCAACAACAAC
rnacentral:misc_RNA from 1 species